rnacentral:rRNA from 1 species
GAUGAACGCUGGCGGCGUGCCUAAUACAUGCAAGUCGAGCGAACAGACGAGGAGCUUGCUCCUCUGACGUUAGCGGCGGACGUGUGAGUAACACGUGGAUACCCUACCUAUAAGACUGGGAUAACUUCGGGACACCGGCGCUAAUACCGGAUAAUAUAUUGCACCGCAUGGUUCAAUAGUAAAAGACGGUUUUGCUGGCACUUAUAGAUGGAUCCGCGCCGCAUUAGCUAGUUGGUAAGUUACCGGCUUUCCAAGGCGACGAUGCGUAGCCGACCUGAGGGGGGGAUCGGCCACACUGGAGCUGAGACACGGUCCAGACACCUACGGGAGGCAGCAGUAGGGAAUCUUCGCAGUGGGCGAAAGCCUGACGGAACAACGCCGCGUGAGUGAUGAAGGUCUUCGGAUCGUAAAACUCUGUUAUUAGGGGAGAACAAAUGUGUAAGUAACUAUGCACGUCUUGACGGUACCUAGUCAGAAAGCCACGGCUAACUACGUG